GGGGUUGUGGCUCAGUGGUAGAGUGCUCGCCUAGCACGAGUGAGGCCCUGGGUUCCAUCCUCAGCACCACA
rnacentral:tRNA from 1 species